rnacentral:rRNA from 1 species
CAACGCAGGUGAUGGCCUAACUUCAAUAGUUGCCCCUUAUGCAUGCAAGUUCAAGAGUGGGCGGCCCAUCUCCUCUUCUAAUGUCGCUACACCAUUCGUGUCUGGGGAAUGAUAAAAUCUUGGGUCGGCUUAUUUGAUGUGCACCCAUCUGCGUGGGUUGCUCUUGACUCGGUGAAGGAUUGGUGGAACCUAAUUGCUACCAACGUGUCACAACCAUGGCGGGCGAUGAUGUCUCUCAUUAUGCUUAUCUCGUGGGAAAUUUGGAAGGAGAGGAAUGCUUGAGUCUUCUGCCACACCACGGUACGUGUAGGGGUUCUUGUUGCUAGAAUUAAAGAGGAGUCAAAGUUGUGGUGUCUUGCAGGAGCUAAAUUUUUUAGUAAUGUGAUGCCGCGAGAGUAA